UACGUAGGGGGCAAGCGUUGUCCGGAUUUAUUGGGCGUAAAGAGCGUGUAGGCGGCCAUACAGGUCCGUUGUGAAAACUCGAGGCUCAACCUCGAGACGCCGGUGGAAACUGCAAAGCUAGAGUCCGGAAGAGGAGAGUGGAAUUCCUGGUGUAGCGGUGAAAUGCGCAGAUAUCAGGAAGAACACCCGUGGCGAAGGCGGCUCUCUGGGACGGUACUGACGCUGAGACGCGAAAGCGUGGGGAGCGAACAGG
rnacentral:rRNA from 1 species